GCUGCUUCUCAUCCUCAAAUGGAUUACGUGUAGCCGGUUCGGGGAAUACGCUGUACAGGGACGAUAAUCUGAUAGGGCUCAAGUAAUGGGACAGAUUUCCCGCUUAUUCUUUGUCUUCGAACUCAUCAAGGGAGCUCCUUGUUCGUUGGCAUCGUUCGUCUCUUGUCUUCCUGUCUCCUUUGGAGCGACGUUUCGAAAAGAGAAGCUGCUGACGCAUACCACCAGCGACACUCGCACAAAUCGAUCAGCAACAAACAAAUCCGAUGGACAACCAUAUUUGGAAUAGCAAAAGGCAAGGACUCAUCAGUCUGUCUGUUAUCGUACAUGGCAAGUGUUGCCUGCCUACUUACCUGUUCGUCGCUCCACGAAGUGUCAAGCACCCCGCAAGACGCGCUACCAUCCAUAAACGGGCCUCGAAAGCGUCAUAAUCUGCCAUUACCAACGUGAGCAAAAUCUCGUCGGCAUCGCCUCUACCGUUUUCGAUCUUCCUUUUAAUAAACUGUCUGAUCGGACGCCACUGCAAAGCAGUAAUGAACCAACCACUA